rnacentral:rRNA from 1 species
AUUGAACGCUGGCGGCAAGCCUAACACAUGCAAGUCGAACGAGUGGCGGACGGGUGAGUAAUGUCUGGGAAACUGCCUGAUGGAGGGGGAUAACUACUGUAAACGGUAGCUAAUACCGCAUACCAUCGGAUGUGCCCAGAUGGGAUUAGCUAGUAGGUGGGAUAAAGGCUCACUUAGGCGGCGAUCCAUAGCUGGUCUGAGAGGAUGAAAAGCCAAACUGGAAAUGAGAGACGGUCCAGACUCCUACGGGAGGCGGCAGUGGGGAAUAUGGCACAAUGGGUGAAAGCCUGAUGCAGCCAUGCCGCGUGUAUGAAGAAGGACUUAGGGUUGUAAAGUACUUUCAGCGGGGAGGCGUUACCUGCAGAAGAAGUACCGGCUAACUCCGUGCCAGCAGCCGCGGUAAUAC